CGUGGCUUUGGGAACAGUUGGGUCAGCUAAUAACAACUGAACGGCUGAACUGCCUGGGAAGCCUGUAUGGUAGGCAAGUUGAAGGGGGCCAGUAGCGUGGCACUGCUGACCUGCAGCGGGUCACAAUGGUAGUCAGCGGUCUCCAUGGUAAUGUCUCUGAGCCAUGAGGUCGGAACUGUGGGAUUAAUGACAUCCCACGACUGGAGCAACCAUAGUGCUGAGAACAGCUUUGACUACGGUGGUUCCGGGAAGAAACUUUUCCAGGACCUAUGUAUGGGUACAGCUGUUUCCCCUGAUCAGUAUCCUUGCAGCACCCAAGUAAGACUAAAAUUAUCAGAUAUAUUUUGUUCUAUCUCUGGCCACUGCUAACUGCAUUCUUUGUUUCCUUUAUAACAAAAAGUAUCUACUCUUUUCUUCUACAGUGACGAUAUUCAUUUCUUGAUCAUUUCACCUUCCAGUCAUUGAAAGAUUGCAAUCCAAGUCACCAGGAUUUUCCACCUGACUUUCCCACAGGAAAAUAAGCACUUAAAAGCAGUUUGACUCUUAGCGUCUUUCAUUUCUCAAGCAUCUCAAGAUAAGCUCUGUUUAAAAUCUUUAGAAUUUCCAUCCUAGGCCUCUAUACAUUCUGGCUGCUUCCUCUCAGAGGCUAAGGACACGUUAUUUUCAUUUUCAGGGACUAUAGGCUAGUAAAGGAGGGAUAACAUAAUUCAUUUUCACUGCGGGAAAAGUAAAUCACUUAGUAGUCAAAAGACUACUUACUUGAUGGACUACCUUACUUAACUGUUUCUCUGAGAACUUAAUCCCCUAACAAGGUAUAUGAAGUUGCUCAGUCGUGUCUGACUCUUUGCUAUCCCAUGGACUAUAGCCUACCAG
rnacentral:lncRNA from 1 species